rnacentral:rRNA from 1 species
GAUGAACGCUGGCGGCGUGCCUAAUACAUGCAAGUCGAGCGAACAGACGAGGAGCUUGCUCCUCUGACGUUAGCGGCGGACGGGUGAGUAACACGUGGAUAACCUACCUAUAAGACUGGGAUAACUUCGGGAAACCGGAGCUAAUACCGGAUAAUAUAUUGAACCGCAUGGUUCAAUAGUGAAAGACGGUUUUGCUGUCACUUAUAGAUGGAUCCGCGCCGCAUUAGCUAGUUGGUAAGGUAACGGCUUACCAAGGCAACGAUGCGUAGCCGACCUGAGAGUGAGCGGCGACACACUAAAUGAGAGACACGGCAGACUCCUACGGGAGGCAGCAGUAGGGAACCUUCCGCAAUGGGCGAAAGCCUGACGGAGCAACGCCGCGUGAGUGAUGAAGGUCUUCGGAUCGUAAAACUCUGUUAUUAGGGAAGAACAAAUGUGUAAGUAACUAUGCACGUCUUGACGGUACCUAAUCAGAAAGCCACGGCUAACUACGUG